AACAAACGCUGGCGGCGUGCCUAAUACAUGCAAGUCGAACGGGGAAAGUAGCAAUAUGAGUACUAGUGGCGCCCGGGUGAGUAACGCGUGGAUAAUCUGCCUUGAAGAGGGGGAUAACUAGUCGAAAGAUUAGCUAAUACCGCAUAAGACCACAAGAACUGAGGUUCAAGGGGUCAAAGGUUUUUCGCUUCAAGAUGAGUCCGCGUAAGAUUAGCUAGUUGGUGAGGUAAUGGCUCACCAAGGCAACGAUCUUUAACUGGUCUGAGAGGAUGAUCAGUCACACUGGAACUGAGACACGGUCGAGACUACUACGGGAGGCAGCAGUAGGGAAUAUUGCACAAUGGAGGAAACUGUGAUGCAGCGACGCCGCGUGAGUGAUGAAGGCAUUCGGGUCGUAAAGCUCUGUCGCAGGGGAAUAACACAAUGAAGGUACCCUGUAAGAAAGGAUCGGCUAACUUCGUG
rnacentral:rRNA from 1 species